GCCGAGGUGGCGGAAUUGGCAGACGCGUUGGACUCAAAAUUCAAUGGAUCUUAAGGUUCGUGUGGGUUCAAGUCCCACCCUCGGCACUA
rnacentral:tRNA from 1 species